rnacentral:rRNA from 1 species
UGGUGGAACGAGGGCUUAACUGUCUCCCCCUUCAAGUCAAUGAAAUUGAUCUCCCCGUGCAGAAGCGGGCAUAAUAAUACAAGACGAGAAGACCCUUUGGAGCUUGAGAUGUAAGACCAACUAUGUCAAGAAGCCCUAAAAGGAUUAAACUAAAUAGUAACUGGUCCUCAUCUUCGGUUGGGGCGACCACGGGAGAUAACAAAGCUCCCACGCGGACUGGGGAAACCCCCAAAACUAAGAGAGACAUCUCUAAGUCGCAGAAUAUCUGACCAAAAAGAUCCGGCUUCCUGCCGAUCAACGGACCAAGUUACCCUAGGGAUAACAGCGCAAUCCCCUUCCAGAGUUCA